AUCCAGCUGACGAGUCCCAAAUAGGAAUAAACCCACGUCCUGGUU
rfam:Schistosoma haematobium scaffold210_20, whole genome shotgun sequence.